GUACACGCUGUGACUAGCAUAUCAAUAAGCGGAGGAAAAGAAACUAACAAGGAUUCCCUCAGUAACGGCGAGUGAAGCGGGAAGAGCUCAAAUUUGAAAUCUUGAAAGGUCACCUUUCACGAAUUGUAGUUUAAAGAAGUGUUUUCUGUUACGAUCGUAAUAUAAGUUCUUUGGAAUAGGACAUCACAGAGGGUGAGAAUCCCGUCUAUGAUUGCGAUUUGUAGCUUUGUGAUACACUUUCAAAGAGUCGGGUUGUUUGGGAAUGCAGCCCAAAACGGGAGGUAAAUUUCUUCUAAGGCUAAAUAUUGGCGAGAGACCGAUAGCGAACAAGUACCGUGAGGGAAAGAUGAAAAGAACUUUGAAAAGAGAGUUAAAUAGUACGUGAAAUUGUCAAAAGGGAAGCGUUUAACACCAGUGUUGUUUUCUGAAAAUCAACCUCUGUUAGCUUUAUGCAUGUUUGUUUAGACCUAAUCAGCUAUCUUGCAUGUUCUAUUGUUUGCAGUGGUGCACUUUUCAGUUUACAGGUCAACAUCAGUUUUUUUUACCGUAAAAAAGUUAAAGAAAGGUAGCUCAUGGCUCCGGUCGUGAGUGUUAUAGUCUUUUUCCUAUGCGGUAGGAGAGACUGAGGUCUGCAGUGUAGGCUAUUUGGCCUAGAUACUCAGGUGCUAUGUGAUACCAUUUCAUAAACGACUUGUUGAUUAUGUUUUGUCUAUUGCAUACUCGCUUGUACUAUCAUACCUACGCUUAGGAUGUUGAGUAGCGACAUACGCAC
rnacentral:rRNA from 1 species